rnacentral:lncRNA from 1 species
UUGGAAAAGCCACAUAGAGGUCAAACUCUGUCUAGCUAUCCGUCUAUAAAGAAAUCCAGACAGCGUAAUGCAGCAUUUUAUGAACAACAAGUGGAUCUUCUGGGAAUGACAGAAUCCUCCCUACGAAUUAGAAGCAUGGAAGGAUUCGUUACACUUUAACAUGUUUCUUCAGUGACAUGUGCGACCUUGACUUUUAAUUAUUCAAGAGUGGCAAGUAUGGAACCUAAAGUGGAUUGUUGACACAAGAUGCCUGGAAAUAAGGAGAAUUAUGAAAGACAUACUGUUGUUUUAAAUUUCAAACCACAGUUACCUGUGUAACUAAAGAACCUGUAAGUCCCUCAAUAGGAAAAAGUGGAAACUGACCCAGAGGAUGCCAGACAGAAGGAUAUAUCCAAUUGCAGUUCUUACCAGCAUACAGGAGGAGGUUCCAUAUGAAUAUAACUUCUUGCCUAAGUUGGUUUAGGUAAGAAGACUCUUCAUGUGCCUGUUUCCUUCAAAUUUUAAGGAGAGCUCUUGCAUGGUGGUAGAACCGAGGACAGCCUAGACCUUCUGAUUGUCAACUCCUUGUUCCAUUGUGUCCAAACCUACAUGUCUGAACUCCUCUCAUCAAAGACUUCUCAAAGUUAUUAAUAACUGGGGAUCACGUAUUCAGUAAUUACACACAUCAGGCUCCAUGCUUUCUGUGCAGUAUGUAAAUUGAUUCAUUGUCAUACUAAUUAUAAAUGGCUAGUAUUAUUGCUGCUUUACAAAUGAGGCAUAUGACACACAGGGAGCUAAAUAAUUUGCCUAAGGUCACCCCACUUGUAAAUGAUGAAGCCAGGACUCAAGGCCAGGUCUGGCCACCCCUGAAUUUAAUAGCUUUAUCCUCUAUAUCUCUGUUUUCUCCCAGACCAAGGUGUCUGUACCUCUCUGCCAACAGAGAAAAGGGUUCAUUCAUUCAUCAAAUGUUUGUUGAGCAUCUAUUGUGACUCAGGCAAUAUCCUAGAUCAAGGAUUGUCAAACUUUUUCUAUAAAGGACAAGAGAGCAAACAUUUUAGGUCUCCUGGGUCAUACGGUCAGUCACUGUGAUUCAACUCUGCUGUUGUAGUACAAGAUUGUGAAAGCAGCCAUAGAUGAUAUGUCAAUGAAUGAGCAUGGUUGUGUUCCAAUAAAAUGUCACUUGCGAAAGCAGGCUGUGGGCUGGGUUUGGGCCAAGAGUUCUAUCCCUGCUCUAGGCACUGGAGUUA